rnacentral:rRNA from 1 species
UACGUAGGGAGCAAGCGUUGUCCGGAAUCAUUGGGCGUAAAGCGCGCGUAGGCGGCCCUGUAAGUCCGUUGUGAAAGUCAAAGGCUCAACCUUUGAAAGCCGAUGGAUACUGCAGGGCUAGAGUCCGGAAGAGGCGAGUGGAAUUCCUGGUGUAACGGUGGAAUGCGCAGAUAUCAGGAGGAACACCAAUAGCGAAGGCAGCUCGCUGGGACGGUACUGACGCUAAGGCGCGAAAGCGUGGGGAGCGAACAGG